CAUACGGAAGGCCUAGGGUUCGAUCCCCUACUCGUCCACAUUUUUUUAAUACCACAUCAGAAAACCCUAACCCCCCCCCCGGCGAACUAGCACCUCUUGGGCGCUACCUUUUGCCUUUUGGCCUCUCUUCUAUUCGUCAUACUUUUCUGCCGUACAACACGACUUACACUCCCCACCCCACACUCGGCCGGCCACACGCCCCCAUCGCGCGGUGCGAAGCAGCGCCAGACACGCGGCGCAGCAAUGCGCCGACUCAGUCAUCGGAGCACUGCCCACCUCCCGCCCCGCAGGUCGCAUCGCAGCCGCGCACAGCAGGCGGGUCGCCACGUCGUGCAUCCCUCGCGGCGGCACCCGGGCCCACCCACCAGUAGGCAGCGUGAGGGCCGGGCGUGGGAUACGCUCGGGUCGCGCACACACACCGCCCACCACAUGGACGGCACGGGCGCGUGCACGGUCACAGGCCGCCCCGACGCAGCGCCAUCCAGGGCCCGGCCGCCGGCAUCCGUGGGGAUACAUCGCUCUGGCCACCCCUACGCCAUAGAUGCUUGGCCCUGUCACCACCAGGGGCUGUUCAGCACUGGCAAGGAUAGAGCGAGAGGGAAGGGGGAGGGGGGGCUGCUCGGCCUCCCAAAAGAGAAGGUGCGCGGUGGACCCUGAGAUGCCACGGACGGACGGGAUUCCCGCAGCCGGGCAAAUCAUGGAAAAUAAGGUAAAAAACCAAGCAGGGGUUUGUUGUAGAGCACGUUGAUGUGGCAGAUGUGUGACGCAUAAAGCCACGUAGUGCAAGUACCUCUUGUUACUAGUCCGGGACUCUUUGUCGCGCAUUAAGCGAGAUCAUCUUUUUUUUGUGGGUUAGCGCCCGGUUUUUUCUUGAAUUGCACUGCCCUUUCAUUUUGCAGCGCUCUGCGAUUAAGUGUUUUGAAUUCCAGGGGAACACGUUUUGAAAAAGUUUUCGGACCGCCGCCUGACGAGCACAGUUCUUGGUUUCAACACGCCUUUCUGGGUAUACCUUUUGGACGGGCACACCGAACAUGCGGUUUGGAUCGAGGGGGGUUUGAAUUCACCGAAGCCUGUUUGAUUCCGGCCGUUGUUGUGUUUUAACCAUUUCUUCGGCAACUCCUGGCUUUUUUCAGUCAGUAUCCUUGGACCACCCUCGGUUACCUCCUUUCAAAGGCUUUGGGGCCCCUUUUGCUUGCACCAUUUCAAUCCCCACUGCCUCCUUUAUGCCUUUUUUCCUUGUUUCUUUGGAAUGGCAGGUUUCUAACCAUCGCGUUUUCAGGCUAUUGAAAGUUUUUUUUGGGGGGUGGGGGAACUCACUUUUUUUUUGAACGCUUGCCGGCCACGAUGCUUGUGCGGUUGCUUUUUUUUCUAAAGAGUACAUUCGCGGAGUGUCUUUUGAAAAGCCCAUCGUUUAUUUUGUUCCCGCGCGACCUUUUUUGUGGGUUUCUUCUCCACCCCCUUUUUUCUUUUUAAUAUGGCUUUAAACGCCUCGUUUUUUAUUAACCCCCUUUUUUGCUGAGUCAGCGCGUUCCGCUGGCCUUUUGGCUUUUUGUCUUUCUGCCUUUCAGCGUCCCACGAGGAUCCCAGCUAUUCCGGCGAUAUUUUCCUGCCCCGCAUAAUUCUUUUAUCCCUUUUGGCUUGUAUGCCGCGUUUUUUCCUCUGUUUUUUUUUUUCUGGUGCUGUCUUUUGCUCGUUUUUUUUUCUGGCGGCGCUAGGGCGACCAGCCCUUUUCUCUCCCCGUUUUUGUUUUUUCCGUGCGAGAAGGUCGUGGUUGCGCUAACCGAAAAACCCGCUUAUUUUUUUGUGUGAUUUUUUUAUUCUGGGGGUGCUUCUUCUAAGCCUUUUCGCCUAAGCCCCCCCCCCGGCUUUCCGAUCACCACUGCUUUUCCACGCUUUGCCAAACAAUUUUUUUACCAUUUUGUCGACCCCGCGCUGCUUUCCGCCCAUGGUUUUGAUGUCUGUUGCUUGGGUUGUGCUCCCUAUCUGGUCUUUUCCGCCAUUCUUCCUUGCGCCUGCUCGGUUGGGGGUCGCUUUUUUGUGCUCUUCCACCGCGGCACUUUGCGAUCGAAAGCGUGCGUUCGUGAAGCCACUUGCGGUGUGUCGAUUCUUACGGGCGAAUGCUUUUUUUUUUUCGAUUUUCUGUGCGUUUUUCACACCCCUUUACGCGGCUAUUCUGCUUUGUUCUUUUAACCAAAAUAACGCCCCCCAACAACAAAACGCCAGUUAUAGCA
rnacentral:tRNA from 1 species